rnacentral:lncRNA from 1 species
AUGUUGAGCAGUGUUUCUCUCCGGGCUCAGAUCGCUUCCAUCAUAGAGGUACUUUCUAAAGCUGCGGUUUCAGAAAUUAGCAAAGUAGUCGACGAUGGCAUAGUUGUGUUACGUGUGGAAAUGUGUCGACGGGAAAAUGAAAUCAACGUCCUGAAAAAUAAUGUACAACAACUUGACAGCGAGCUUCGAAGAGCUCGAGGGAUUCAACCUCGAAAACGCAUCCAUCAUGGUCGAUCAGUCGCUGCUGAGAAUCUUGGGAGAAAAGGGCCUGGUAAAAAUGGUACCACUUGUGUGAGGAGGACCUCCGUUGAGAAACUGCAGCCUGGGGGAGACGGCAAUGGAAAGGAUGAAGGCGUUGGACCUGCGGAUGAGACUCUGGUCAAGAUUGAGCCGGGAGGGGAGGGUGAACAGGAAGAGCAGACUACAAGGAGAAAAGACGAGGAUCGUCUUGAUGCUGAACUGUCAACGUACGAGAGAGACAGCCAGCCGUGGAUGCCCGGUACACAAGAAGACAAUGAUAUGGAGACAAACUCACUGUGUCUCCCUGAUCACUCUCCUGAACCUUCCGGAAUGACGGCAGCUUCAUGCAGCAGUGUUUCAUUACCAGGGAAACCAUAUUUGGAGUCAGAUGUCAGAGAGGAUAUGAUUUUACAACUCAGACAGCAACAACGUUAUAGGCAGUCAGAAGCGCUCAGGAGAGCAAGCGACGGCACGGUAAAGGCAAACCCAGACCCUCAAAGUGAAUUCGGUUUUGGCCCGAAUUACAAUACGGCAAGGAGGGCGAGGACCAAGAGAUUUUUCCAGGUUAAUAAACACUUCAUUUGCACACUGUGUGGAAAGAGUUUUGAACGUUACAGCCAUCUUGAAAGACAUCUACGAAUUCAUACGGGUGAGAAACCGUAUAGUUGUGACCUAUGUGGAAGGUGUUUCAACCAGAAGGGUAGCCUCAAAGGACAUCUGAAGACUCACAGAGGUAAGAGAUUAGAAUCACUAGCUAAUGACGGCAGAUAG